GAUGGUAUAGCUCAGUGGUAGAGUGAGUGCUUAGACUGCACAAGGAUCUGGGUUCAAUCCCCAGUACCUACA
rnacentral:tRNA from 1 species